rnacentral:rRNA from 1 species
GAUGAACGCUGGCGGCGUGCCUAAUACAUGCAAGUCGAGCGAACGGACGAGAAGCUUGCUUCUCUGAUGUUAGCGGCGGACGGGUGAGUAACACGUGGAUAACCUACCUAUAAGACUGGGAUAACUUCGGGAAACCGGAGCUAAUACCGGAUAAUAUUUUGAACCGCAUGGUUCAAAAGUGAAAGACGGUCUUGCUGUCACUUAUAGAUGGAUCCGCGCUGCAUUAGCUAGUUGGUAAGGUAACGGCUUACCAAGGCAACGAUGCAUAGCCGACCUGAGAGGGUGAUCGGCCACACUGGAGCGGAGACGCGGUCCAGACUCCUACGGGAGGCAGCAGUAGGGAAUCGUCCGCAAUGGGCGAAAGCCUGACGGAGCGGCGCCGCGUGAGUGAUGAAGGUCUUCGGAUCGUAAAACUCUGUUAUUGGGGAAGAACAUAUGUGUAAGUAGCUGUGCACAUCUUGACGGUACCUAAUCAGAAAGCCACGGCUAACUACGUG